AGAGUUUGAUCCUGGCUCAGGAUAAACGCUGGCGGCGCACAUAAGACAUGCAAGUCGAACGGAAGUCGUUAUAAAAAGGAUUGAAGAUUUAUCUGAUUGAGAUUUUAUAACAAUGGCUUUAGUGGCGGACUGGUGAGUAACGCGUGAGCAACCUGCCUACUAGAGGGGAAUAACAGUGAGAAAUCAUUGCUAAUACCGCAUAUGCCAUGAACAUCACAUGAUGAAAAUGGGAAAAGAGUAAUCUGCUAGUAGAUGGGCUCGCGUCUGAUUAGAUAGUUGGUGGGGCAACGGCCUACCAAGUCGACGAUCAGUAGCCGGACUGAGGGGUUGAACGGCCACAUUGGGACUGAGAUACGGCCCAGACUCCUACGGGAGGCAGCAGUCGGGAAUAUUGCGCAAUGGAGGAAACUCUGACGCAGUGACGCCGCGUAUAGGAAGAAGGUUUUCGGAUUGUAAACUAUUGUCGUUAGGGAAGAUACAAGACAGUACCUAAGGAGGAAGCUCCGGCUAACUACGUGCCAGCAGCCGCGGUAAUACGUAGGGAGCAAGCGUUAUCCGGAUUUAUUGGGUGUAAAGGGUGCGUAGACGGGACAACAAGUUAGUUGUGAAAUCCCUCGGCUUAACUGAGGAACUGCAACUAAAACUAUUGUUCUUGAGUGUUGGAGAGGAAAGUGGAAUUCCUAGUGUAGCGGUGAAAUGCGUAGAUAUUAGGAGGAACACCGGUGGCGAAGGCGACUUUCUGGACAAUAACUGACGUUGAGGCACGAAAGUGUGGGGAGCAAACAGGAUUAGAUACCCUGGUAGUCCACACCGUAAACGAUGGAUACUAGGUGUAGGAAAUGAUUUCAUUUUCUGUGCCGUCGCAAACG
rnacentral:rRNA from 1 species